ensembl:lncRNA
CUAUUUAAAGGGCAUCAGCCUAACUUUAUUUUAAGUGGACGAAGAAGGUAUAAAUAGACUUAGAGGAGCGCAACAAGCGAAUGCUUCAUAUGAAAUGGCUGGCGUUACAUCAUUGCCUGUGAGAGUGAAGUUCUGGAGAGGCACUGGGCUCUCUGGGCCAGCCAUUAUGCUAAGCAAAGCUGUCAACAGAGGCAGAGAAGCAGCUUUAAGUGGGAGACAGAAAAUGGAUGGAGGAAGAACAGGAGCGGGACAUGAAGAAGAGAAGGAAGGAAAGAACAUAGAAGUCAUUUAUGGAUGAUUUGCUGACUGAUGUGGUGGCUCAUGUCGAGAUCUGGGCAA